rnacentral:rRNA from 1 species
UGGGGAAUAUUGGACAAUGGGCGAAAGCCUGAUCCAGCCAUGCCGCGUGUGUGAAGAAGGCCUUUUGGUUGUAAAGCACUUUAAGUGGGGAGGAAAAGCUUAUGGUUAAUACCCAUAAGCCCUGACGUUACCCACAGAAUAAGCACCGGCUAACUCUGUGCCAGCAGCCGCGGUAAUACAGAGGGUGCAAGCGUUAAUCGGAAUUACUGGGCGUAAAGCGCGCGUAGGUGGUUAUUUAAGUCAGAUGUGAAAGCCCCGGGCUUAACCUGGGAACUGCAUCUGAUACUGGAUAACUAGAGUAGGUGAGAGGGGAGUAGAAUUCCAGGUGUAGCGGUGAAAUGCGUAGAGAUCUGGAGGAAUACCGAUGGCGAAGGCAGCUCCCUGGCAUCAUACUGACACUGAGGUGCGAAAGCGUGGGUAGCAAACAGGAUUAGAUACCCUGGUAGUCCACGCCGUAAACGAUGUCUACCAGUCGUUGGGUCUUUUAAAAGACUUAGUGACGCAGUUAACGCAAUAAGUAACCGCCUGGGGAGUACGGCCGCAAGGUUA